rnacentral:lncRNA from 1 species
GGGAUGACUUUGAUCUUGGGAGAUUUUUGGAGAUGGCAAAGUGCUUCUAAACAUGUUUGGCAUGGUCUCCUUCAGGCUGGUGGAUACCUCAGGAUGGUGGCGUUGGCAUGGAAGGAAGGACUGUGUCUGUGAGGGAUGAUCAUCCUCUCAUGUGAUCCUUGGAGAUGCCAGGAAGCCCCUUGACACAUGUGGCAUGGGCUCCUUCAGAGGCUUUUGGAUCCGUCGUGAAUGUGGCAUGGGCAUGCAAAGAAAGACAGAGGCUGCAAGGGAUAAACUUCAUCUUGGGAGAUCCCUGGAGAUGGCAGGGAACCCAUGGACACAUGUGGCAUGGGCUCCUUUGGGUGCCGGUGGAUCCCUUCAUACGGUAAAGCCAGAGUUGGGUAUCAACCAGAUACACUGCAGGGGAUCAGAGGACAUGGCCUUUGUGUACUGCACAUCUGUCAGAUUUUCUCAAGCACACCCGUGUUUCCUCUUCACCUCCCACGUGGAAGUGAUGAAUUGGCCAGGACCAUGUUGGUGAGGGACAAUCAUCAUCUCAUGUUAACCUCAGAGAAGCCAGGAAGCUCCUGGACACACAUGGUGUAGGCUUCCUUGGAGGCUGUUGGAUCUCUCCUGAAUGUAGUGUUGGUGUAAAAGGCAAACCCGUGUCAUGAGGGAUGGUCAUCAUCUUGUGUGAUCCUUGGAGAUGGCAGGAAGCCCUGGACAUACAUGAUCACUGGAUGUGGCAGGGAGUCCUAGGACAUGUGUGGUGUGGGCUUCUUCAGGUGCUGGUGGUGUUGGCAUGAGGAAAGGAGGUAUCUUCGAGGGACAAUCUUCUUCUUGUGCGAUCCUUGGAGAUGCCAUGAGGCCCCUGGACACAUGUGGUGUGGGCUCCUUUGGAGGCUGUUGUAUCCCUUCUGAAUGUGGCGUGGGCAUAGAAGGAAGGCCAGUGGCCACGAGGGACAAUCUUGGUCUUGGGAGAUCCUGGAAAUGAUAGGGAGUCCCUUGAUAUGUGUGGCAUGGGCUCCUUCAGGUGCUAGUGGAUUCCUUAGGAUGGGACAAACACUGUGCGUGGAUCGAUGAUGACUUCCAUAUAUACAUUCCUUGGAAAGCUGAACAAAAUGAGUGAAAACUCUAUACCGUCAUCCUCGUCGAACUGAGGUGGUGUUGGCAUGAAAGGCAGGCUUGUAUCAUGAGGAAUGAUUGUCAUCUUGUCUGAUUCUUGGAGAUGGCAGGAAGCCCCUGGAAACACAUGGUGUGGACUCUUUCACAGGCUGUUGAAACCCUCCUGAAUGUGAGGCCAGAGACAGGCAGACAGCAGAUGUAUUGCAGGGAGCUGGAUGACAUGGCCCUUGGAACCUGUGCACAUGCCUGCCUUUCUGAUGCACGUCCAUGUUUUCUCUGCACCUCCCCGGUGGUGUUGGUAUAAAAAGCAGGCUUACAUCAGCAAGGGAUGAUUGUCGUCUCAUGCGAUCCUGGGAGAUGGCAGAAGUCCCGGGACACAUGGAGUGUGGGCUCUUUCGGAGGCUGUUGGAUCCCUCCUGAAUGUGUUGUGGCCAUGGAAGUAAGGCCAGUGGCUACGAGGGACAGUCUUCAUCUUGGGAGAUCCCUAGAGAGGGCAGGGAGCCCCUUGACAUGUGGAAUGUGAUCUCUGUUGGGUGCUGGUGGAUCCCACAGGUGGUCUGGCAUGGAAGAAGGCCAGAGGCUGCGAUGGAUCAUCUUUGUCUUGGGAGAUUCCUGGAGAUGGUGGGGAGCCCCUGGGCACGUGCAGCAUAUGUGGCGUGGGCUUCUUCAGGUGCUGGUGGAUCCCUCAGGAUGCUUUUCAAGGUUUUUCUAUGAGUUCUGUUAAAGAGUCUGAAAAUGGAGCGUAGAAGACAUGCUUCGAUUUCCAGGAUGGUUGUGUUUUCCAGAGAGGCGGAGUUCAUUGUGGAACCAGCACAGAUUUUCAUACGAAAGUUAUUUCUUUUUAACCUCAAAAAGUGACAGAAUGGAGUGUAUCAUGAAAAAGUCUGACAUCAAAACCUCAAAAUGUGAUAUUGAUUGGGUGAGAUAGAAUUCCAUGGAAUUUCAUUGCCAAACCAGUGAAGUGCUAAUUUUGACAUUUGUACCAGCUAACGUAGCUGUGAAGAAACACACCAAUACACUUCUAAGGACAGCAUAGACCAAGAUCUAGGUUUCAUAUGGAUGAAUUUAUUCUUCCCUUUGAGGCAAGACAAGAAGGAAAGAAAGUAUUGGGAAUAAUGCUGCCCUCCCAUCCUCAAGGGCCAGUGGGAACUCUAAUAUUGAUUGGUUUUCACAGAAUUCCAUGGACUUUAACUGCUGAACCAAUGAUGCACUGAUUUUGUCACUUGUACCAGCUAACGCAUCUGGGAGGCAACAAAACAAUACUCUCCUGAGGUUAAUGUGGACCAAAAACUAGAUUUCAUAUAAAAGAGUUUAUUCCUUCUACUUGAGGUGUGACAUGAAGGAAAGUAAUGGAAAUAAUUCUGCCCUCCCAUUCUCAAGGGCCAGGGGGAAUUCAAAUAUUGAACGGAAGUGAUUUUGGAAUUGCAUGGAAUUCUCACUGCCAUCCCAAAGAAAUGCUGAUCUUGUCACUCUUACCUGUUUCAUUCCCUGGGGGCAGAACAAAAGGACGCACUCCAAAGAUCGGCAUGAACCAAGAACUGGGUUUCAUAUAAAAUAUUUUAUUCUGUCCUCUUGAGAUGUGACAUGAGAAAAGUAUUGAGAAUACUUCUAUCACCUCAUCUUCAAGAAUCCGUAGGAAUUCUCCCAUGGUGGACUUUACGGUUAACCUGAACAGGUCUUGGAAAAAGGACUUUAAACAUUCUCCUGUUCUGUGGAAUAAGUAUACUUUUUUCUGGACAUACACCUUGUCAGUGAGUUCCAUGUGAUACUAGAGUUGCAUAGAUUUUUAACCUUUACGCCAAUGAAGAUCUGAGGCAAACAUUGCCCCUUUUUUAGAAGUUUGCAUUUGUCACUGAUAACUGUAAUAAUUGAUCUUGUUGAAAAGCCUGGGAAAUGAAGAUCUGAUAUGUCACUUUUACCGGCUUCCUCAACUGAAAAAGAAUACAAUGAAACACGCUGAGAAUUUUUGUGCUUUCUCAGUCUUGCUGAUGAUCUUUCUAUGGGCCUGAAGCGUGGAGAGUGCCAGAGAGGCUGAUCCUCAGCAGUGUGGCAGAGGAAAGUUGGGUGCGACUAAGGGGUAUGCGGUGCCCACAUGCCACUGGGUCCUCAGCAGUACCACCUGAUUGGAAGUGAUAUUGGUGGAAGACAACAUUUUGCCGCUUGGAAUUCUCACCUCCACACCAAAGAAGUACUGUUUUUGUCAUUUGCACCAGCUUCUUUCUCCAGGAAAGAUCAAAACGAUGCACUGCAAGUGUGAUUGGUCCAGAUAGCUGCCUUAUCCAACUGCCUCCUUUGGACCACUUCAUCAUGGGACAGCUUGAUGCAAUCUACUUGACAAGACCCUGGAACCCCACACCCCUCAUGGAACCAGUGUCCACCUCCCAGUCACAGUGUGACCCCAGGGAACUCUUGCCUGCUUGCUUUAAACCCACCACUUAAAAGUCUCCACAGAAAACCUGUUUGAAUAGUACCCUUGACCCAAUAAGGGCAUUGGCCCCUGGGUGUCUCUCUCUCUCUCUCUCUCUCUCUCUCCCUCUCUCUCCCUCUCUCUCUCUCGCUCCCUGACCUCUGCGUGUGGACUCCAGGCAUGCCAUAUACCCCUCAGGACCUGAAGCAAAAGAAUGAAUUAAAGAAAACUCCAGAGAAUGAGCUGACAACCUACUCCCUGGUCAGUGGCUCUCCAUGCCUACCUGUGGUCUCUUGGACACCCUUGCAGAAGAUGACUUCCUGGGAACUCUUCUGGGAGUGAAUGUUAUCAGCAAAUUCCCAAAACAACACCCCUUAGACAAAAAGCCUCCUCACCUAUGCAUUGCCUAGACCACCCACUAAAGGUGAUGGCCACAAAGAGGUGGAUUUGUUGAGUUGGUGCCAUUCCUUCUACUGCCAGCUUCACCAAAACAAUGACACAGUCUUCCUUCCGCAUGGAGACUCUUCUCUUUCCUGUGUUGCAGUGGAUGCCUCCUGCAGAUAAGAAAUGCUUAACUGAGAAAUGCUCAUGUUGGGAUAUCAUCGAUGAGACUUUAAUUUGGGCAUGGUGACUGUUUCCCUUGCUGCCACUUGACUCAAUCCCAGGAGCCUCAGUAGAGGAUAUAAUAUUACACAAGAUGCUCAAAAUGGUGGAAUUGCUCAGUGCUCCCAUAAAUAUACAUUUAUAAUUUUCAUUUGCCACAUGGUAAACUGAAAAAUACAGACUAUAUUAAAAAGAAACUGCAUGAUUUUUUUUCAAAAAUUCAAAGCAUAUUUAAAUAAUAUAUAAAUUAAAUGCCCUCCUCUCUUCCAAUUCUGUCCCUAUAGUUUUCCUCUAUUAAGUGAACUACAUGCAUUCUUUUAGUGGAUAGAUGCACACAAACACACAAGCCAUUAUGGGGAAGGAUCCACGUGUGUGGCCAUAUUGUAACACAUUUUUCUGCAAAUCACCUCUUUCAUUUAACAGCCCUUAUUCAAUGGCCUUUUUCUUUUUCAGUAGUACAUACACAUCUGUGUCAUUUGUUGAAUGACGACAUGAAUGUUUUGUAGAUAAAAUAUAAUUAAAUGUUUUAAGCAUUUCUCACUCAUAGAUAUUUAUGUUAGCACCAAAUUUCUGUGCAAUGAACCUCCCUAUAUAUCAGUAAUUUUGCAUUUGUCUAUAAUAUCAUAAUAAAUUACUUAUCAGUUGAAUUACUGGGAUUAAGUAUGUGCACACUUUAUAUUUAUAUUUUGAAAAUUAUUGCAAGAUUGCCUUCAAAAAUGUGGUUAACAACUUUAUCUUCAAAUGGCAAUGAAUGAGAUUGCCAGCUUUCCUACAGCCUCACAGACAAUGGAUUUUAUAAAUAUUUAACAUUUUUGCCAAUGUGAUCACCCAAACUAUUGUCUUAAAUUGUAUCUCUUUUGUUUUUGAGUUUGGUCAUUUUUUCAUGUUUAUUAGCCAUCUGUAUUUUUUAAUUUCUUCUUUAUGUCCAAUUUUGUGGGUGGGAGGAGGAUUUAGUCUCUUCCUGAUUUCGAAGAGCUCAUUUACUAUUUCGGGAAAUAAGAUUUGGAUUGUCAACCAUUAUAGCUAUUUUUUACACACUUUUCAACUUUGUUUUUGUUAUAAGAAUGUGUAUGAUUGUUACAUGUCCAAGUAUAACCAUGUUCGCUUUUAUGGCUUCUGAGUUUCAUGUCAUUUUUGGAAAGAUAUAUAUAUUGAGUCCAUAAAACCCUUCACCUAUGUUAAAUUCUAAUUCUUUUGUGUUUUUUUAAUUCAAAUUCUUAAAUCAUGAGAAAUUUUUUUGUUUUGAAAUCUUAAAGUUGCCAAGUUACUUGCCAUUACUUGCGAUUAUUUGCCAAUAAUUGCCCAUUUAUCUGUACCGCCAUCUUGCGCAUAUGCUGUACUCUCAUCUGUGACUGGCUCCAUUUUUGUUCUGUGGAUUUGUGUGUCUCUUCUUCUGCCUCCUGUCUCGUGUCUGCUCGUUGGAAGAAAUUACAGUUUAGACUGCAAUUUCAUCAACUUUAAUAAAUCAAUUGAGGGGAGAAUUGGUUUUUAAAAAUAUUAAGUAAGUCUUCGUAUCCAAGGACAAGGUAUGUCUUUUCUUAUUCAAUAAUUUUAAUUACUGUUAAUAUUUUCACUGUGGUGAUGGGAGUUUUUCUUUUAAUUUAUUUUCUUGUUCAUUUUUUGUAUCUAAAGUUUUUGUUUUGUUUUGUUUUGGGGGUAAGUUGUCACCUUACUGUUUCUUGUUGCUUUUCAGAUUUUUUCAAAGUAUAGACUAAAUCCUUCACAAAUAUUUAAAGUUUUUAUUUUCCCCCUUCAUAUUGAUCCUGAUUUUAGUUAUGUUGACAAAGUCCACAGACUGUUACUAUCAGAACACUUGAACAGUUAUGGAAAUAUUACCUACCCUUGAUUUAAUCAGAGUUUAAUGGUAUGCUUCUUUGGUUUGACUGGCACAUUGUCGCUGGUCAUUUCCUCCCAAAGACCACCAGAAAGAGCUAUGAUCAAGCAAAGCUGAGUUUGUUAAACUUACCUGCAGCAAGGGAAAACACCACCUUGAUAGGGUUUAAUAAUGUUUCAAAAUCAAGAAAUGAGGCUUUGGGGUCUGGGCAGGGAACUAAUUAGAAAUGGGCAAAAUUUGUCAUGCAAUACCUUGUGGGAAAGUGAGAUGAGGUUCUUAAUGUGAGUAUUGAUGGUGAAAUCAUUUUCUAGGUGAGCUGUUUGCCUAUAUAAAGAUGUUAUCAAUGACAGAAGAACUAUUUGCCUAGAUAAACAAACUGAAUUUAUUUAUUGGUUUACAGUUUUAUCUUGCUGGGCAGGACUCUGCUGGGGGUGGUAUCAGGUCUUAUUCCCAAUAGGUAAGUUAUUUGGAUAUGGGUGGUCUUAAUCAUCAAUGUGUAAAAUGCUGAUUUUAAGUGCGAAAUACUUUGUCUACCAUGUUAGGAAAGUCUGCCACCUUUUAUCUUUUUUAAGGAAUUUUAAUCAAAACCAGGUGGUAGAUAUAAUCAAAUUGUUUUGCAGAAUCAAUUUUCCUGUUCUCUUUAAAGACUUUUAUCACUGUGAAUUAAUUUACUAUUAUUGCAACUUCCUUUAAUUCCUUGAAUGAACAGACCCUACUGGUUUUAAAAAUGUUUUAUUCUUUUAAUUUACUACUUAAUUGUGGGUAUUUUAAUUUGAUUUGGAAUUUUUACAAGUAUACAACUAAGUGAAAUUGAUCUGUGAUUUUUCUUUUUUGUGCUAUUUUUGUCAUGUUUUGAUAUCAGAUAUUCUGGUUGUGUUAAAAUAAUUUUGAGGAUUUUCUUCUUAUACUGUGUUCUAGAGUGGGUAAAAAAGCCCUAGUCUCACUAUCAGUGUUUAAGUGAACACAUCAGUGACAUCAUCUGGACUCUCCUUUGUUUUUGCUGGUUUGGAGUUAGGACAUCUAGAAGUUUUUUUCUUUUUUUCCUUUUUUUGUAUGGUUAUUGCUUGUUCUUUGUUUUGUGUCAAAUUUAACCUGUUUUCUCUUAGCAAAUCACAGCUCAUGCAGAUUUUCAAACACAUUAGCCUUGUUAUACAAAGUGUUCUUUCAUCAUUCUAUUAAAUUUCCAUUUUCAUUCCAGUUAUAGUUAUUUCUGCUGUGCCUUUGUUAAUGAAUAAGUUUAAACAGUGGAUGUUUAGCAUCACUAGCCUUCCCCUUCCAUCUCCCUUAAUCAGGACCUUGGUAUAAUUUAUCAGGUAUUUUUUAAGGUUCUAAUUUACUUAUAUAUAUUGUUUCUGUAUUCUUUUGUUUCUUUUCUUAAUAAAUUCUUAAA